rnacentral:lncRNA from 1 species
AGUGCGAGAGUUGAGGUGCCUUUGCCAUCGGCUUUGGGCCUUGUAGAGUUUCAACUUUGCUUUGGUGGAGAACCUACCUUCUUUAGCGGUAAGUAAAAUUCUUUGUACACCGCUUGUGGUGUAGAAAAUCUGAUGUAAAGCACACUAUUUCAUUCGAUUGAUCUACAUAGCAUCUUUGUGGCUCGAUGUGACUAGACGUUUGAAGGCGAAAAAAAUGGAAGUGGUGCGCUAUUCUAUUGUCGAAUAUAUUUAAUGCACAUCAUAAUCUAUUUUUCAAAUUUAAUAUGAUAAAAAUAUUUUUUUCUUCAAGAUUCGAAUGUUGUUCUUCUCACUCUUCUUUCUCAUUUUGUUGAGCUUUUGCCGGUCCAAGAAAAAAUUUAUGAGCCAUAAUUGUUUGUCCAAGGUGGAA